UCUGCCCUAACUAAGGUGGUAGAGCAUCGGAGUACAAAUCCAGAAGUCGUGAGUUCAAAUCCCCCAAGCAGAC
rnacentral:tRNA from 1 species